AAAUCAAUCAAUCAAUGCGUCGCCCAGAGUAUUAUGAUAAGUGUAUUAUUCGCGUUUUACAUUUUGACUGUGAUAUACCUAAUGAAUAUUUAAUUCGAAAAUUUAAUUAUAAUACACUUAUCAUAAUACCCCAGGUGACGCAUUGAUUGAUUUA